GACGAACGCUGGCGGCGUGCUUAACACAUGCAAGUCGAGCGGAGCGGCGAACGGGUGAGUAACGCGUGAGUAACUGCCCCCCUCUCUGGGAUAACAGUUGGAAACGGCUGCCGAUACCGGAUAGCGGGUGAUGACUCGGGGCCUAUCGGCUUGUUGGUUGGGUGGUGGCCUACCACGGCGACGACGGGUAGCCGGCCUGGGAGGGCGACCGGCCACAAGGGGCUGAGAGACGCACCAAACUCCAACGGGAGGCAGCAGGGGGGAAUAUUGCGCAACCGGGGAACCCCUGUUGCAGAAGCGCCGGGUGCGGGAAGACGGUCUUGGGGUUGGAAACCGCUUGCAGCCAUUAAGCGGUAGUGGCAGAAGAAGCACCGGCUAACUACGUGCCAGCAGCCGCGGUAAUUC
rnacentral:rRNA from 1 species